CCUACGGGUGGCAGCAGUGGGGGAUAUUGCACAAUGGGGGGAACCCUGAAGCAGCAACGCCGCGUGGAGGAUGAAGGUUUUCGGAUUGUAAACUCCUUUUGUUAGAGAAGAUAAUGACGGUAUCUAACGAAUAAGCACCGGCUAACUCCGUGCCAGCAGCCGCGGUACUACGGAGGGUGCAAGCGUUACUCGGAAUGACUGGGCGGAAAGAGCGCGUAGGCGGGAUAGCAAGGCAUAUGUGAAAUCCUAGGGCUUAACCAUAGAACUGCAUUUGAAACUGUUAGUCUAGAGUAUGGGAGAGGGAGGUGGAAUUCUUGGUGUAGGGGUAAAAUCCGUAGAGAUCAAGAGGAAUACUCAUUGCGAAGGCGACCUGCUAGAACAUAACUGACGCUGAUGCGCGAAAGCGUGGGGAGCAAACAGGAUUAGAUACCCUAGUAGUC
rnacentral:rRNA from 1 species